UACGAAGGGGGCUAGCGUUGCUCGGAAUCACUGGGCGUAAAGCGCACGUAGGCGGAUUGUUAAGUCAGGGGUGAAAUCCUGGAGCUCAACUCCAGAACUGCCUUUGAUACUGGCGAUCUUGAGUUCGGGAGAGGUGAGUGGAACUGCGAGUGUAGAGGUGAAAUUCGUAGAUAUUCGCAAGAACACCAGUGGCGAAGGCGGCUCACUGGCCCGAUACUGACGCUGAGGCACGAAAGCUAGGGGAGCAAACGGG
rnacentral:rRNA from 1 species